rnacentral:sRNA from 1 species
GUCCUGGUAGUCGAUCGGCGGAUAGCUGACCUUGGCCCAGUCGGGCUCGUCCAUCGCCAGCCAGCGGCGAUAGGCUUCCAGGCGCC